CCGGAGAGGGAGCCCGAGAAACGGCUACCACUUCCAAGGAAGGCAGCAGGCGCGCAACUUACCCUAAUCUCGAUUCGAGGAGGUAGUGACAAGAAAUACCGAUGCGGGGACCCUACGGGGUGCCGCGUUCGGAAUGAGUACGAUUCGAACCACCUAACGAGGAACGAUCGGAGGGCAAGUCUGGUGCCAGCAGCCGCGGUAAUUCCAGCUCCAAUAGCGUACGUUAAAGUUGCUGCAGUUAAAAAGCUCGUAGUUGAACGUUCGGGUUCCGCGGGACGGGGCCGCCCCGCGAGGGACGGCGCCGCCCCGGGGCUCGUGAUAUCUCAUCUCGCCGCCCGUCGCGAGGCGGACGGAGGGAUGGAUGAGGUUACCUGGAAAAAAUCGGGGCGAUCUAGGCGGGCGAACCUCGCCAACGAACGAUCGGACAUGGGAUAACGGAAGAGGGCGUCGGCUCGACUUCGUCGGUUCCUCGGGCCGAGGCACGUACGGUG
rnacentral:rRNA from 1 species